UUCCGGUUGAUCCCGCCGGAGGCUACCGCUAUUGGAGUUCGAUUAAGCCAUGCGAGUCGCGAGAAAUUAGAUUCUCGGCGUACCGCUCAGUAACACGUGGGUAACCUGCCCUAUGCUGGAUAAUAACCUCGGGAAACUGAGAAUAAUGAUCCAUAGUUCACUACGCCUGGAACGGUGAGUGGAUGAAAGCUCCGGCGGCAUAGGAUGGGCCUGCGGCGUAUCAGGUUGUAGGGGGUGUAACGUACCCUCUAGCCCUCUACGCGUACGGGUGUUGGGAGACAUAGCCCGGAGAUGGAUUCUGAGACACGAAUCCAGACCCUACGGGGUGCAGCAGGCGCGAAAACUUGGCAAUGCGAGAAAUCGUGACCAGGGAACUCCAAGUGCAUGGGGUAAGACCCAUGCUUUUCUUGACUCUAAAUAGGUCUUGGAAUAAGGGGUGGGUAAGGACGGUGCCAGCCGCCGCGGUAAUACCGGCGCCUCAAGUGGUAGUCGCUUUUAUUGGGCCUAAAACGUCCGUAGCCGGUCUGAUACAUUCGUGGGUAAAUCAACCAGCUUAACUGGUUGAAUUCUGCGAGGACGGUCAGACUUGGGACCGGGAGAGGUGUGGGGUACGCUCAGGGUAGGGGUAAAAUCCUGUCAUCCUGAGCGGACCACCUGUUGCGAAGGCGCCACACUAGAACGGAUCCGACGGUCAGGGACGAAGCCUAGGGGCACGAACCGGAUUAGAUACCCGGGUAGUCCUAGGUGUAAACGCUGUGGACUUGAUGUUGGGGGUGCUCCGAGCACUCUCAGUGUCGAAGCGAAGGUGAUAAGUCCACUGCCUGGGAAGUACGGUCGCAAGGCUGAAACUUAAAGGAAUUGGCGGGGGAGCACCGCAACCUGAGGAUUGUGCGGUUUAAUUGGAUUCAACGCC
rnacentral:rRNA from 1 species